rnacentral:rRNA from 1 species
UACGAAGGGGGCUAGCGUUGCUCGGAAUCACUGGGCGUAAAGCGCACGUAGGCGGACUCUUAAGUCAGGGGUGAAAUCCUGGAGCUCAACUCCAGAACUGCCUUUGAUACUGGGAGCCUUGAGUUCGGGAGAGGUGAGUGGAACUGCGAGUGUAGAGGUGAAAUUCGUAGAUAUUCGCAAGAACACCAGUGGCGAAGGCGGCUCACUGGCCCGAUACUGACGCUGAGACGCGAAAGCGUGGGGAGCGAACAGG